rnacentral:rRNA from 1 species
UGGGGAAUAUUGCACAAUGGGCGCAAGCCUGACGCAGCAACGCCGCGUGAACGAUGAAGGUCUUCGGAUCGUAAAGUUCUGUUGCAGGGGAAGAUAAUGACGGUACCCUGUGAGGAAGCCCCGGCUAACUACGUGCCAGCAGCCGCGGUAAUACGUAGGGGGCUAGCGUUAUCCGGAUUUACUGGGCGUAAAGGGUGCGUAGGUGGUCUUUCAAGUCGGUGGUUAAAGGCUACGGCUCAACCGUAGUUAGCCUCCGAAACUGGAAGACUUGAGUGCAGGAGAGGAAAGUGGAAUUCCCAGUGUAGCGGUGAAAUGCGUAGAUAUUGGGAGGAAUACCGGUGGCGAAGGCGACGUUCUGGACUUUUACUGACGCUCAGGUACGAAAGCGUGGGGAGCAAACAGG